GAGUACUUGUUUUCUUCUUAAAAAGCACCAUGUAAUAAGUUUAAAAAAUAAGUGACAAUCUUACUUAUUAGAAAAUCUCUGUUGAUCUUUAGAGCUUAUUGGUUUCUACAGGUUAGGGAGAAACAAAGCAAGAGGCUGCUGCCGUAGCUCAUUUGCAAGGACCCACCAGGAUCAUCUCUUUGCUCUAGGUCUGACUAGUCUUAUCACAUUUCUCUGUCAGUGUGCACAUCUGGAGUGUGUCCUGCUCAGCAGUAAAUGAGACUUAUUCCUUGUAUUUACCCAUUGCUGGCCUUGAUCAGCAGCUGCUUCUGCAGUUGGAGAACUCAGCUCCUGUUGAAGCUGGCUGAAGCUGAAUUAGAAUGAAAUGCAUGGGGUAAUGGAAAAAGAGCAACUCUGCCGUUUCAGAUACUAAUACACCAGGUGGAGAAGUUAACUACAUGAUGAGCAGACUAUAACCACAACAUGAGCUGCCACAAUUCUAAGAAUUGGCCUCAAAGAAAUGGGAACAAAUGGACCCUGGAACUGAAAAUUAACUGUACCCAAAACAAUCAAGGUGAUGCUGGCCAGGCCACUGAUGACCAGUUUGAAGAUUACUGUUAGAGAUGACUGUGCUGUUUCUGCAUGUAGCCACCCUCCUACUUCUGUCUGUAAAAGCUCG
ensembl:lncRNA